rnacentral:rRNA from 1 species
AGAUUGAACGCUGGCGGCAUGCCUUACACAUGCAAGUCGAACGGCAGCAUGGGUGCUUGCACCUGAUGGCGAGUGGCGAACGGGUGAGUAAUGCAUCGGAACGUACCCGGAAGUGGGGAUAACGUAGCGAAAGUUACGCUAAUACCGCAUAUUCUGUGAGCAGGAAAGCGGGGGAUCGCAAGACCUCGCGCUUCCGGAGCGGCCGAUGUCGGAUUAGCUAGUUGGCGGGGUAAAGGCCCACCAAGGCAACGAUCCGUAGCGGGUCUGAGAGGAUGAUCCGCCACACUGGGACUGAGACACGGCCCAGACUCCUACGGGAGGCAGCAGUGGGGAAUUUUGGACAAUGGGGGCAACCCUGAUCCAGCCAUGCCGCGUGAGUGAAGAAGGCCUUCGGGUUGUAAAGCUCUUUCGGCUGGGAAGAAAUCGCAUCUCCUAAUACGGGGUGUGGAUGACGGUACCAGCAUAAGAAGCACCGGCUAACUACGUG